UGUUCGUGUAUAUAUACACCGGUAGUGGGGUAGUGUUCGUGUAUAUAUACACCGGUAGUGGGCGAGAGCGGCCAGUCUAUGGCUGGCAUCGAGAGGAGGCGGACGUGUGCAGCUGGCCAUUUUAGUGUAGUGGUGAGACGGUGACUUACUGCUAUUAUGGUAAGGACAAGGGACCCUACAAAUGGCGACGAGGUGAAAAAAAAAAGAAAAAAAAAACAACUGUAAGUAGUUAUAAUUAUUAUCCGUAAAUUGUUGUGUUCUGUUACUUGGUAAUUGGCAAAAUCGCUUGCCCAGACUACGGACCCGGUUCUUGCCUGCCGGUCUGGUUUGCAGCGAUUGAGCUUAAACUAAGUCGCUGUGUAGACUAUGGUCUAGGUUACAGCGACUAAAAAUAAAAAAAAAAAAAGAAAGAGAAUAUGUAAAAAAAAAAGUAAAAAGAAUACAGCAAUGCGGUUAGUCAGUUUUAUUUUUGAAAAGGACAGAAGGUCGAAGUAAUAAUUAUUCUUUUAUUACUGUUGAAUAAAUUUAAUGUUGUUUAUCAAGACAUUGUGUGAUGAUAGAUAAUCAAAUGACAUGGCAUUUUAUGAGUGUACAAGUGAUAGACACGUCGUAGCGUGGCAAUUUCGUUAAGUGGGCAAGUGGUAAGCCAAAAAGCUAAAUUAGUUACCUUCGUUGAGUCGAGCGAUCCGUAAGCCGGGACAGUAUCCCGCAGCGAUUAGCUGGAAUAGACAUAUUCCGUUUUGUGGAGUACGCCUGCCUGCUAGACUGUCAAGUUCACUAUACCUGAGCUGGUACGGCCAGUACGGUAAGACAAAAGUUGUUGUGUUGUUUGCCAGUUGGAGUGACGGUCUUACAUACAUUACGUAUUUACUAAAUGACGUAUACAGGAAUUUAAAUUUAUUUAUCGUCACAUCAAGUAUUACCCUCAAAAUCAAAGUUUAAUGGGUAUCGAUAUUCGUUGCAGGUAUCACAUUGUACAAACUUUAUGAUAAACAUCGGGUAUGGCCAUAGUAGUUGUAAUGUGAAUUAGCGUUUGAAUAAGCGAUAGCCUUGUCUCAACGUUUUAUAAUGAGGAAGGCGGUAUUCGUGAGCUUCAACGUUAUUUAAUGGUGGUGUUAAGAGUCCAGUAUUACAGCGAUAGCAAUACGGUGCUACAGUACACAAUUAAGUGAACAAAUUAGUGAUUAGGUAAAUCGCUAGAGAUACUGAAAAGUAGUAAAAUUAGUAAAAUAAGGAGUCGGUUGUGCCAUUUAACGGCGGUCAAUCUCGGACUGAUUUAUUAAUGUUUUAUGUUUACCCUCAUAACAUUUCAGCUAAUACAUUACAAACGUGAUCUAAAACUAAAACCAUGGUUGAUGGUUUGUAUAAAUUGAAAAGGUAUAGAAGUGAUAAACGUUAAAUGGUCAAAUGUAACUUUUACGAUGUUUUACAUAAUUUUAAUGUUUAUCAAACGUAAGCAUAAUAAAUAAUAAAUACUCUUGGGAAGUAUUACCCAAGUUACAUUGUGUGAUGUUAAAUACAUCAAAAAUAUCCAAUGGAUAGCCAAACUUCCCAGUAACGUGCACUUCAUAUAGUCAUUAAAGUACGGCAUACCCAUGCCACUGAGACCUUCACAUAUAUAAUAUUGGCAAGACUAAGCUAAACUUAUAAGGAGUUUAAUUACAUUGCGAAUAGUGCAGGAGUUGGCGUACUAUUUAAUUACAACCAACAUGACAAUAACAAUGCUUUCGUCUUCGUCUGUUGAUACAGCUUGGUGUUCUGUGUCAAGCACAUAAGUCGCCCGCGUCGAUAAACAUUGGCAUACUGCAAUUUGCGCACGGGUUUGUGCGUGAAUUGAAUCUAUCGUGUGAAGUGUGAUAACAAAAUAUUGUGGGUACGGUGUGUAAAUGGAUAUGUAGUGUUGGUAUGUAAGUAUGUAUGUAAGUGUGACGAUGGUGUGGAAAAUAUUAAAUUAAAUAUUUCAAAUAAUAAUAAUAUUAUAAAUAAAUAAAAUAAAUAAAUAAUGUAUAUAACCUACUCGUUCAUCGAUCUUUGAGAUAAGGAGAUUUGAUGACAAAAGGUUGUGUAAGUUUUACUAGUGAAAGAUAAGAAUAAUCGAGAGAUUUAAUUGGGAUUUAGGUUGAGCAAAGCUAGUGAUUUAAUAAAAUGUUGGUAUGGGGAGUGUUGUGAGGUUGUUGUAGUUGUGUCGUGGUCAAAGGGGUCACUCCACUGCAUCGUGGGUGUUGGUCCUGAGCAUGACAUGGGCUAUGCUGUGAUAGAAGGGGACGUUCAACUUGUUGUUAAGGUGGUUAAGUGUUGUGAACGCAAAAUGGUGUAAAGGAUCUCAUAAUAAGAGACCAUUCUGAACGAAUGUGGACAUGGAGAUGUCACUAAGAGUUGCUGUUCGAUGGUGAGGUGGUGCAGAAUUGUUCUGUCAUCGUGCAGGUGACACUCAAAUAAUAAUUAUUUGUCAUUGUAUUAGGGUAUUAAUACUAAAUCACUGUGUUAGUUUGAAGUUAUAAAUAGCCAAGGAACAUCCGAAGUCAGGCGUCGUGUUAUGUGAGCGACAUUGAGGGAGUCGCUAAAAGUGUAGUUGUUUUACAUUUGAGUUAUUUAGUAUCAUUCGAUCAAAGAUUUGUUGUUGAACGUUGAAUUGAAAUUUGUUGUCGUUUCACCCUUAUGUGUGUGUUAUGGUGUAUUUGAUAGACAUCUUAAUUGAUCAAGCAGAUGCCAUUGUUUAACCUGCAAGUUUGUACAACUUGAUGAAAUCAAGUUUAGAACAGUCCUAUAUUAUUAUCUGUCAAUUAUGUGACAGCUUUUGACGGGUACUUAAUAAUACUUGAUUAAUGAAAACUGACAUUUGUGACAGGUUCAACCAAUGUUCGAUAUAUCAUCAGCUUUGCUUUAUGUUGUCUUCUGCACCAAAAAUUACAGAAAGAUAGUCAAAAUGUAAGAUUUUGCACCGCUAUGUAAAAAAAAAAAAAAGAGAGAGAAACUGUUGAGUUCUCUGUCAUCAUUGCUUUCAAAGUAAUAGUAUUAGAAGUGCCGUCCAGUGUAUUGAUAAAUCUGACUGCAUUAGUGUCACUUGUGGAGCAGGGGGUUCAAUUAGUGCUUACAGACUUUCUUACGAGUGUCAUCUGUAAUACAGAAAUUAGUAAAAACAAAAGGUUCUUACAAUGUUUGAGAGUGACUUACUAAUAAAGCUAUAAAAUAGCGAUUGCACAAAUACAGAUUAUACCAGUGUACAAUUUAUUUUAGCAUAAUAAGCUGUGUGAACUCUCGGUGAACUUGGAAACGUCAGCAAUACAAAUAAACUAAUUUUCAACAGGCUACCACACACGUUUGCAACAAAAGUGUAUUGAAUUUGAAUAAGGAACUCUUAAAGUAUAAAACUGUCAUCUGGUUUAAAUAAGUUAAGUUCCUACACAGAUUUUGCCUUAACUGGAACUAUGUGGUACGGACAUCUCUAAAACCAAACAAAAGGAUGUUCUUAUUUUGUGAUGUUAGUAAACAUACUGAAAUUGUAACUUAUGCCUGGUUGAUAGUUACGUUCCGUUAUGCGAAAAUCGCUAUCUUAGCAAUGUCUCAUAAUGCUCAACAGACUAUUUAAGGCGGUAAUGGCGUAAUUAAUUUUAUAAAGUUGCAGAUAAACAUGUGUGAUAGUGCGUGCUCAUGCAGACGCAUGCUCGUGCAGGCGAGUGCUCAUGAAGGCAAUGCUGCAGAAGUUUAUGCAGAGCGCGGAGGACCGUGUUGUUCGCAGUGGCUAUGGUACAUGCUGUGGCACUGGAUUACAAUGGGCGUGAUGAACUCCAGACGUAUGCGAUUUAUCUAUUUUGCAGUAGGCAGUUCUCUGCUCAAUGAUCACACAGUUAACUGAUUUGCCAGUUCAGUCCAAAAGUCAAGUCGGGCCAAAAGAAGAAGGAAUUGGAAGAAGAAAAAUGUAUUUGGGGCUUCGGAAUUUCAUUAAAUUGAAAUUGGGUUAAAAGCUUCGGAAUUCCAUUAAAUUGGAAUUGGAUCAAAACCUUCGCAACUCCAUUGAAUUGAAAUUUGCUUUGGAAUUCCAUUAGAUUGGAAUUUGCUUCGGAAUUCCUUUAAAUGGGGAUUGGCUUCGGAAUUCCAUUAGAUUGGGAUUAGGUUAAAGACUUCGGAAUUUCGUUUAAUUGAAAAUGGGUUAAUGAAACUUCGGAAUCCCAUUAGAUUGGAAUUAGCUUUGGAAUUCCAUUAAAUUGGAAUUGGCUUCGGAAUUCCAUUAAAUUGGGAUUAAGUUAAAGGUUUCGGAAUUUAAUUUAAUUGAAAUUGGCUUAAUACAACUUUGGAAUUACGUUAGAUUGGAAUUAGCUUCGGAAUUCCAUUAAAUUGAAAUUGGGUUAAUAAAACUUUGGAAUUCCAUUAGAUUGGGAUUAGGUUAAAGGCUUCGGAAUUUAAUUUAAUUGAAAUUGGGUUAAUACAACUUUGGAAUUACAUUAGAUUGGAAUUAGCUUCGGAAUUCCAUUUAAUUGAAAUUGGGUUAAUAAAACUUCGGAAUUCCAUUAGAUUGGAAUUAGCUUUGGAAUUCCAUUAAAUUGGAAUUGGCUUCGGAAUUCCAUUAGAUUGGAAUUAGGUUAAAGGUUUCGGAAUUUCAUUAAAUUGAAAUUGGGUUAAUAAAACUUCGGAAUUCCAUUAGAUUGGAAUUGGCUUUGGAAUUCCAUUAGAUUGGGAAUAGGUUAAAAGCUUCGGAAUUUCAUUAUAUGGAAAUCGAGUUAAAAACUUCGGAAAGGAAAAAAAGAGGGAGAGUAUUGGAAGAAAGUGGAAGAUACUUUAGACUACUUUAAUCCUGAACCACAUGUGGUUGGAAAUCAAUAGGUGGAGAGUAUGGUAGGAGUAAAGGAAAUAUAACAAUAAUUAAAUUUGUUAAAUAGGAAGGGAUGUAGUGUUCGUGUAUAUAUACACCGGUAGUGGGGUAGUGUUCGUGUAUAUAUACACCGGUAGUGGGCGAGAGCGGCCAGUCUAUGGCUGGCAUCGAGAGGAGGCGGACGUGUGCAGCUGGCCAUUUUAGUGUAGUGGUGAGACGGUGACUUACUGCUAUUAUGCUGGAGCCGAGCAGCCAGCGGCUCCCUGCAAACCGUUUGAUGUCCUCGGUCCACCUAGUGAAGGGUCGACCGACACAGCGCCUUCCAGUGCGGGGUCGCCAUUCAUCACUUUGGGACCCCAACGACCAUCGGCUCUUUGAACUACGUGCCCCGCCCAUUGCCACUUCAGCUUCGUGGCUCGCUGAGCUAUGUAACGAUGGUUUAUGGAGCCGAUGGAUGUUGGCGUACUAAGACGUUGAAAUGGCGAACGCUCAUCGAAAAGAGCAGUGCUGGCUGAGCCAACACCUAGAACACCUAAUGAGGUGGACCGACGUCGUCAAGUAGAUAGCAGACGGAUCAAGAUCAUCGUAAUUGGAAAUCCUUGUAAGCCUAUGGCUAGCGAUGGACAUCCCUCGUCUGAUAUUACGAUAGAACUACGAUUGUGAUAAAAUUACUAAUUGCAUUAAAAAAUAUAACCUGUAAACUCUUUAUUGAAUAAGAUAAAUAUCCACAACCAUAAAAUUAAAGCCAUAUAAAUUACUAUCGGACACCUGUGCCCGCGUCUUUGUCCGCCCUUAGACCUCCUUAAUCCGGCCCUGUCGCAAUAAAUAGCGGAUAUCUACAUAAGAACUAAUCUUCCUGCCUAAUAUCUUCUUUGUGAGUAUUGACGUCAAUACGUCGAUAUUUCGUGAUGCUUCGACCUUUCGCUUUUAUAUUUUAGCCGAAUGCUAAGUAAACUUUAUAUGGAUUUAUUUUAUUAUAAUUGAAUUAAUAGUAAACAAUAUUGCCAUCGACCAUGGAGUGUCAUAAAUGCUAAUCAAAACUGACUAUUCAAAUUUAUUAAAUUAAUCGAUGUAAUAUUUCAUAAUUUACGACGAUUAUGGACAGUCAUAGUAAACAUACUGCUAGGUUAAUGGCUCGUAAAUAACAGUAAUUCAAAACCUGUAAAUAAUGUGUAUGGUUGAGCUGUCAUAAAAAUAUCACGUUAUAUUUUAGAUAAAUUUAUUAAACAAUUAAAAAAAACCCGACUGCAUGAAGUAUAAAAAAACUGAAAAGAAAUAAAACAAGCUCAAUCCAGAAGUGUAGAAAGCAAUUAGAAAACAGUCUGACCUAUUAAAUAAUGUAGAAGAAAAUUAUUCUAUCCAAUAUCUAAGGUUAUCCAUCUUCUCAGCUCGUAGUGUCGUGUCAAUAAAUAAUUAAUAGUCCUAAUGCUUGAUUUAUGAAAAUACCGUAGGGUUGUUAUAGCUAAUUAGGAGUUGAUGAGGUCAACGAUACCUUUACGUGGAGCCAGUACAAUGACCGCAUUAAAUAAUUAAGUUAUUUAUUUGCGUCUGGGUCGUUUCAGUAGUUUACCUUUAAUCCACUAAAAUUCACGAACAAUUCAAUGACCGGCAGUGUUAAAAAAUACGUGGAACUCAAUCAGGUCACCGACCCCGAAGGUGAUGUUUAUCGAUCAUUUGCACGGAAAGUACGGGUGAGAUCCAGUGGCGGAUUUGCCAGCUGGUUAAGUGGGCUGGAGUCUAGGGCGGCGGAUGUUAAGGGGCAGCAAAUUUGGCUGCCCAGUGUGUACAGGGUACAUGGAUGUCUUACAGAAAUAAAGAAGAAGUCCUCAUUAAACGAGUUUUGAAAAUUCAAGGAAUAAUAAUAAAAAUUAACGGAAAUCUGAUGUAAUGAAGACGAAUGUGCACAAAUCAGAAAGUUGCAAUUUCAUUCACACAAUAAAAUGUAAUUAAUUUCUUUGCUAACUAGUUAGUAGGCGGCAAAUUUCCAAGUCCGCCACUGGUACGAUCCGAGGGUGCCUACGAUUACUUUCAUUUACAUACGCCUACGCUGCAGCGCCAAAACACUGUACCUAAGAAACAUUCAUUUUUGAGAAGUCCCAGUUCUUUGUAUUCUUUGCUAGAUACGAGUACUAUUAAUGAAUUUCUUUGUACUUACUCGUAGUUUUAAGUUUUUAAAAAUAUUUAAUGCUAAUAGGUAUAUGUAACCAUGUUCUAAUUUUAAUUCUAAUUUUUGAGUGUAACUACAUAACACAUGAUGUGUUUGCGGAUACAGUGUUAUGCAGAUGCAGAAUAAUCUCCGCUAAUGUAGACAGAUACAGUUGCCGCAGAUACAGUGUAAUGUGUCGGCAACUGUUAUUCUUGUACUCGUCCAUUUUCACGAUUAGGAUUACAUUGCCUGUGACACCACUUCUCCACUUGUAGCCUCAUUUCUUUUAAACUCGACUGCGCCACUGUGAAGGAGGGUUGUCUGUUUAUCAGUAUUUUAUGUAGGUAUAUUUCAAUUCCUUUGUUGAUUACUUAAGUAUGAUGUUUAAUGUAAACAAUUUUUCAAACAGUCAGUUGUUUUCUAAUAAUAAUUGAAUUACUUGUUUUAUUUAUUAACCGAGAAGUUAAUGCCUGAAUGGCAAUCUGACGAUGCAAUAUAAUGGCUCCUGCACAUUAUCGGUCAUUAUAUACAAGGGAUCCCAAGCGUGUAAAGAGCGUAAUCACUUAUAAUUGCCCAUGAUGGGUGACGAUCGAACGUAAUCGCCGCCGUGUUGGGUUUCCGGACAAAUAUAAAAAAAAAUUGCAUUUUCACCCAUAUAUAAGACUAGCUGACGCCGCGCGGCUUCACCCGCGUGGAUCCCGUUCCCGUAGGAAUAUGGGGAUAAUAUAUAGCCUUCCUCGAUAAAUAGGCUAUCAACAGUAACAGUGAAAGAAUUUUUCAAAUCGGACCAGUAAACAAACAAACAAACAAAUAAACAAACAAACUCUUCAGCUUUAUAAUAUUAUUAUAGAUUUAUUUCCACAAGGCAUCGUCAAAUUAAAUUUCAUUUUCAUUAUAAUUAUGGGUUCAGUUACUCGGAAGCUCGUAAGAAAAUGUCACUUAAAAACUAGCCAAUUUUGCUUUGGCAAUAGAAUUAUUGGUAAAGAAAAUUAUACCUAAAGUCCUUUAAAUAUAGUCCAAUAUUCAAUAAAAUCCCAAAUUCAGAGCAAAUUCAACCUUAAGUAUUUAGUUUAAGGUUGAAUUUGCAAAUGCGACUACAUAAAUUGAGUGCCAAGAAGUUGUAUUUGGCACUCAUUGAGUGGGGACGAUUUUCGGUCGCUGAUUGUGCAUCCAAUUUUAAAUAGGAGAUCGAUGCUCGUAAGGCGUGAAAGCGUAACAAGAAACAAAUACACAUUCGCGUCUUGGAUAUUAGGUAUUAUUAGUUCAUUAGGACUUUGUUUUAAAUCUAGAUACAGGAAAAUGUACUGUUUAACAUUAGUGAACUACAAUAACCUUCCGUAUUCUGAUUAAAAUAAUAAUGAAUCUUGAAUUACAAUGUGCAUUAAUGUGCAAAAAAACCUGUAAUCAUGUAAUCUCGUGCGAGUAUCUUUCUGAUAUUGCUUGCAAUGAGAUAGCUUCUAAUAAUAAUAAUGAAACGUGUACAAUUAUACAGGUAACACAACGUUUUCAGGUUAAAUUGAACAACAAAGACUGAACACGCCCAAAACAUAGAAAGGUCAAAAUUCAAAAUUGUUGUUGUGCCUUUUGAUUUCGCCGUCAACCAUCUUAAUUUACGAUAAUUUCUAUUUAGCGACAGUCACACAAUCUGGGGUGAUGAUUAGUCUUUGAUUUGAUUAAGUAAUGGAUAUCUUCGUGUCAAUCCAAUUUCAUAUAUUACUAGCGGAUGCCCGCGACUUCGUUCGCGUGAAACUUGGUGUAGACUUUCAAAUACCUCUACCCUACCCCUACCCUACCCCUAUUCUACCCUUCCCUACCCCUACCCCUAACCUACCCCUACCCUACCUCUACCCUACCCCUACCCUACCCCUACCCUACCCUACCUCUACCUUACGUUGAAAAUUUUCCUGAAUUUUCUUUGCUAUAAACCUCACGGAGCCUGAGACCUUUCCAACGAAUGCAAAACCGUGGAAAUCGGUUCGUGCUUUUUGGAGUUAUAGCGUCAGGAAGGAAAACCCGACUUAUUUUUAUAUAGUAGAUGUCAACUAACAUACGUCAAAGUUACUGAAUUAGACUGCAGAUAUAUUUGGACAUUAUGCCUCUAAUGAAAACUAGGCCAGAUAGUAUACAUUUAAUUGAAAAUUUUAAUUAAUAUCAUUAUGGAAAAAUCGAGAAGGUACACGGCUAUUAAACAUUGCGUCGAAAGUGUAAUAAACGAAAUAGUUAGAAGGAAUGAGCUGAUAUAAUCUAAACAAUGUAAGAUACGUGCAAAUAAAACAAUAACUAACGAACGAGUAUUACACAUUAUAUUAUAAUCGUAUAUUUUGUGAAAAUUAGGAAUACGGGUCACGGAAUUUUAGUCUUCAUUACCUAAGAUUUCAUACAAGUUCCUCUUCCACAGUAGGUAACAUGUAGACAGUAAGAAUCGAUUUUUUUAAUGAUCAAAAAUCUUCAUGGGGAUCAUGAGGGAUUUUCAUAAUCAUUUAACUGCUAAG